UACGAAGGGUGCAAACGUUGCUCGGAAUUAUUGGGCGUAAAGCGCACGUAGGCGGCUUUGUAAGUUAGAGGUGAAAGCCUGGUGCUCAACACCAGAAUUGCCUUUAAGACUGCAUCGCUUGAACGUCGGAGAGGUGAGUGGAAUUCCGAGUGUAGAGGUGAAAUUCGUAGAUAUUCGGAAGAACACCAGUGGCGAAGGCGGCUCACUGGACGACUGUUGACGCUGAGGUGCGAAAGCGUGGGGAGCAAACAGG
rnacentral:rRNA from 1 species